UAUUUUUUGACCUUUUCUGUAGGUACAUACUUAUGUUACGUCUGCAGAUUUUUGAUAAAUAGCAUGAACAAAUAGAGAAGCUAUCAACACAGAAGCUUCCCACGUCCUCGUUCAGGGGAAGAAGCAUUUCAGAUCUUGACAAAGAAAAAGGGGGCGACGCAAGUUUAGAACUCUAGCCGAUCUGCAGUUUGUCGAGGUUGAAUCCCCCAGGACGAAUGGCCGAUCACGUGACAACUCAUGGAUCUUUGCACACGGCUGUAUAUCAUUCAGCCGAUUUCGUUUCCAAGUAUCAACACUAUGUGCAUAACAUAGCCCCCAAGUUCCGUGAAAAACUGCUAGGAGUAAUGCUGUAGAUGCCAAUGUCAUCGACGAGUCUGGUGCAGUUGUAAAGGAAUAUCAAAGAGACUGAAAGGCUUGAAGCUGAAGAGGAAGCAUCGCAUGUUCCUGUUGCUCCCCAGCAAGCAAAUCUUUAGACUUCAAGAGAUAAGGAUGAUGAGGCAGGCAGAAAAGCAGACCAGGAUGCUGAUUUGCGUAAAUCUCUUGAUGAACUGAAAAGCAUGGAGGCGUUGCUCCUGGGAAAUGAGAAUGCCCUCAAAGAGAUCCUCAGAGACGGAGGGGAAAAUGAGGAGGAAGUCCGUCGAGUCCAAGAAGAAAUCAAUUUUGUGAAAGCUCUAAUCAAUGACCUUAAAUCACUCGAAGAAGAACAAGUCGAUGCUGCCAACAAUCCGAGAGCCCUGCAGAUGCCGACCACUCAACCUGAAGCUUGUGACAUAAAAUCAAAGUCGACAUUUCUGGAUUGCUUUCUUCAACCCUUCGUAUUGUGCUUUCUGUGGAAAUGAUGGUUUCUAUGUCUCUUACUUCUGUGUUUUUUUCCUGGAUUGCUGUUAAUAGUACAAGAUCAGUCAAAGCUUAUGUGUGUGGUUGAAUGGCAAGCCUUCUUGCUUGCUUCUUGUUUUGUUCAUGUACCGAAAAUUAAUCGAAUUGUUUAUUUGUGAAUACUCUGAGCUUGGGUGUAAUUUUGAUGUAGGAAACCCUUGAGCAGGUAUGUAGUAUGUACUAACACUCGGAUUGAUCCACGGACAUGGCAGGGCAACGUAUAAGGAAUAUCCUACAAGCGCUAUCAGCUCUGCUUGAACAAGAUGGCAAAGAUCGUGAUGAUGCUGGGAAGACUGUCGAAUAUGCCAAACUUGCCAAAGAUUUGGCUGCAAUUUUUAGGGAAUUUCAAGAUGCUAAGAGGCUUGAAGUUGAACAGUAAGCAUUUUAUGUUCCUGUUGCUCCCCAACAAGCAAGUCUUUUAACUUCGAGGUGAUUAUGUAGCCCUCAGCACAAUCAGUCAUCUUCAUAUUUUUCCUUAUAUUGGUAUCAGAAAUCUUCUUGUAUGACAAGUCUAUUUGGUAGGUCAAAGACCAUUGAAGUAGGUAUAAAUGCAGACCAGAACUCCGAUCCACACAUCUUCUUCAGAAAUUAAAAGGAAUGGAGGCUUUGCCCUUGGAAAGCGAGAACUCCCUCAGAGAGAUACUUAGAGAUGGAGAGGAAAAUGAGGAAGAAGUUCGUCGAAUCCAAGAAGAAAUUAACUCUUUAUUGACGUCAUAAAUUACUUAUAAGUAUUGAGAGUGCCCUGCAGUUUUCAACCGUUCAUGGAACGUAGGACCACAAGAAUCUCAACAUUAUUUUCUUGUACUUGAAGCUUCCACCUAUAGUAAUAUCCAAAAGGUCUUGUUGUUUUCCUUAAUAGCAUUUAAGGAAAGUAUAGAAGUUCAGUGAGUAAAUGAAAUUCUGUUCCCAUGUUCUUUCA